AAACCAACAGGGAUUGCCUCAGUAACGGCGAGUGAAGCGGCAAAAGCUCAAAUUUGAAAUCUAGCACCUUCGGUGUUCGAGUUGUAAUUUGAAGAUGGUAACCUUGGGUUUGGCUCUUGUCUAUGUUCCUUGGAACAGGACGUCAUAGAGGGUGAGAAUCCCGUCUGAUGAGAUGCCCAUUCCUAUGUAAGGUGCUAUCGAAGAGUCGAGUUGUUUGGGAAUGCAGCUCUAAGUGGGUGGUAAAUUCCAUCUAAAGCUAAAUAUUGGCGAGAGACCGAUAGCGAACAAGUACAGUGAUGGAAAGAUGAAAAGAACUUUGAAAAGAGAGUGAAAAAGUACGUGAAAUUGUUGAAAGGGAAGGGCAUUAGAUCAGACUUGGUGUUUUACGAUUAUCUUCUCUUCUUGAGCUGUGCACUCGUAUUUCACUGGGCCAGCAUCGAUUCGGAUGGCAAGAUAAUGGCAGUUGAAUGUGGCUUCACUUCGGUGGAGUGUUAUAGCUUCUGCUGAUAUUGCCUGUCUGGAUCGAGGGCUGCGUCUUUUGACUAGGAUGCUGGCGUAAUGAUCUAAUGCCGC
rnacentral:rRNA from 1 species